rnacentral:rRNA from 1 species
GAGUUUGAUCCUGGCUCAGGAUGAACGCUAGCGACAGGCUUAACACAUGCAAGUCGAGGGGCAGCGGGGGAGGAAGCUUGCUUUCUCCUGCCGGCGACCGGCGCACGGGUGAGUAACACGUAUGCAACCUGGCCGUCACAGGUGGAUAACCGGAAGAAAUUCCGACUAAUACAGCAUAACACUCCUGAGGGACAUCCUUCGGGAGUCAAAGGAGGCGACUCCGGUGACGGAUGGGCAUGCGGCGCAUUAGGUAGUUGGUAGGGUAACGGCCUACCAAGCCGACGAUGCGUAGGGGUUCUGAGAGGAAGGCCCCCCACAUUGGAACUGAGACACGGUCCAAACUCCUACGGGAGGCAGCAGUGAGGAAUAUUGGUCAAUGGCCGGAAGGCUGAACCAGCCAAGUCGCGUGAGGGAAUAAGGCCCUAUGGGUCGUAAACCUCUUUUGUCAGGGAGCAAAGGCGUCCACGAGUGGACGAAAGGAGAGUACCUGAAGAAAAAGCAUCGGCUAACUCCGUGCCAGCAGCCGCGGUAAUACGGAGGAUGCGAGCGUUAUCCGGAUUUAUUGGGUUUAAAGGGUGCGUAGGCGGAGUGUCAAGUCAGCGGUAAAAUUUCGGGGCUCAACCCCGUCGUGCCGUUGAAACUGACGCCCUUGAGUGAGUGAGAAGUAAGCGGAAUGCGUGGUGUAGCGGUGAAAUGC